AUGGCCCUCGACCUGCCGCCUUGGUUCUUCAAGUGCAUAGACAAGCUUCGUAGGGGAUUAUUCUGGCGUGGGGUGGAAGAUGCAAAGGGGGGCUGUUGCCUCGUCGCCUGGCAUAUCGUCUGCUCGCCCAAACCCUACGGCGGCCUGGGUGUUCUCAACCUAAAAUUGCUAAAUCAGGCCCUGCGCCUACGCUGGCUUUGGCUGAAGAAGACAGUGUUGGACAAACCAUGGGGUGGCAUGGGUGUCGCCGUGUCGGCGGAG
rnacentral:rRNA from 1 species